CCUGCUGUGAGCAGUGGCCUCCCUUUCUAGACUGUCCCUAUCAACCUGAGAGGGACUAGAGUCUAUAUCCAAGGGAUGUCAUGGAGGAGAUCUCUCUUGGUGUUGCAAGGAACAUCAUAAUUAACAUGGUGAUGAAGAAAGUUUCUGGAACAGAUAUGUGAUGAAGAACUAUUACGUGUAUGAACAAAUGAAUAUGAAGGAAUGAGGUCAACUUUACCCACUGAGGCCAGGUUCCUAAAGUUCUCCAGCAUCACGUCUCUGUACAGGAUUUUCUGAGCAGGGUCCAGCAGUGCCCACUCC